AUUGAACGCUGGCGGCAUGCCUUACACAUGCAAGUCGAACGGUAACAGGUUAAGCUGACGAGUGGCGAACGGGUGAGUAACACAUCGGAACGUGCCCAAUCGUGGGGGAUAACGUAGCGAAAGCUACGCUAAUACCGCAUACGAUCUACGGAUGAAAGCGGGGGAUCGCAAGACCUCGCGCGAAUGGAGCGGCCGAUGGCAGAUUAGGUAGUUGGUGGGGUAAAGGCUCACCAAGCCGACGAUCUGUAGCUGGUCUGAGAGGACGACCAGCCACACUGGGACUGAGACACGGCCCAGACUCCUACGGGAGGCAGCAGUGGGGAAUUUUGGGACAAUGGGCGCAAGCCUGAUCCAGCCAUGCCGCGUGUGGGAAGAAGGCC
rnacentral:rRNA from 1 species